rnacentral:lncRNA from 1 species
CUUAACUGAGCUACUGGCUUAGAAACUGCACUGGUCCAGCUUGAUUUUUUUUUUUUUUUUUUAAGCCUCAAAGCACUUUUAUGGGGGAAAGUUUUCCAGUGGCAGGACUCAGUCUUGGGACCUGUAAGAGCCACGUUCCAGUGGCAGCCAAAGCCCGUCUCUUCCUUCCUUCCCUCCUUGCAGGCAUCACCGGCCAGUGGCACCCUCUGGCCACUGAAAGAGCAGCUAACGGGCGCUUAACCCCCUAUGGUGAUUCCAGUGCAGCCCACAGCCCCAGAACUGGAAAGACAGAAAGGAAUUUGGAAACCGAUCCUGCAAAUAACCUGCCACCCAGACAAGAAACAUGAAUCCACCGGUCCUGCAAUCCUGGUGUCCAUCCAUCAAUCUGGGCCUCCUCCGGGAGGGGUCUGCUCUGUGGAAGGCUUGUUCGGGGACAGGCUUUGGGGAACAACAGUCACGGAUAUGCUCCACCUGAGCUGGCUCUCCUGAUGGGCAGAGGGAGAUGGAGACUCAAAAUCAAGGCACUGGAAUGGUCUUCCUGCGACUGCUCAUCUGCUCAAAGGCAGCCACGGACGGGCGUGGGAGACGUUAAUUAACCACAUCGUAGUAGUAAUUGCGCAGCCUGAGCUCCACCGCUACAAAUCCAGGCCUGUUCUCCACGCUGAAAGGAAAGAGAGGCAUCACUGUGUGUUUUCAGUGCUGGUGAAAAAGCCCUGAUACCACCUGGGGCCUUUGCCGGCCAACAGCAAGUGGAGUGGCUGCGCCCCCUGCUGGCUUCCUCAUGAGCCUGCAGCUCAGCACAUCCCUGCUCCAAGGCACAGGUGACCAGAAGCCUAUGGGGAACACGGUGGGGGCCCAACCCGGACCUACAGAGCCCAGUCUGCAUCCAGCAAGGACCCUGGGUGACUCAUGUCCACCUUAAAGAUGUGGAAGUUUUACACUCAUGGAUAGGAGCUUUUGGAGUUCCUGUUGCAGCUCAGUGGAAACAAAUCUGACUAGCAUCUGUGAGGACGCAGGUUUGAUUCCUAGCCUCAAUCUGUGGGUUGGGGAUCCAGCGUUGCUGUGAGCUGUGGUGUGAGGUGAUGAUGCAUGGAAACUACAGGGAAAAUUUUUUAACAAUCUGUAACCUCUAAACAAACUUUUUUUUUUUUUGGUCUUUUUAGGGCUGCACCUGCAGCAUAUGUAGGUUCCCAGGCUAGGGGUCGAAUCAGAGCUAUAGCCACCAGCCUACACAACAGUCACAGCAAUGCAGGAUCUGAGCCACAUCUACGACCUACACCACAGCUCAUGGCAAUGCCAGAUCCUUAACCCACUGAGCGAGGCCAGGGAUUGAACCUAUAUCUUCAUGGGUACUAGUCAGAUUCGUUUCCACUGAGUCAUGAUGGGAACUCCACUUUUUUUUUCUUUUUUAAAUAAACUUUUACAGACAUCUCUGCUUCCUCUAACAAUGCUGAACAGGAUCAGCUGGGAGCAAGUAUUUCUUAAAACUCUGAGACUCAAGCCUUGCUUGGAAGUUUUCUUUUUCUUAUUUUGCAAGAUUUUUGGCUCUUCUAUGAGAUGUAAAACUGCCCGGUAAGUGAAACAGAACUUAAGUGAAAUUGCAAGAACUGUCCACAAUCAGCCUCUCUGACCUGCAACAAUUGCAAUUUCACAUGGCUCAGUCUAGGUCUGAGAAAGCAGGUGAGGACAGCACAUGUGGACCAAGCAGCACUCACACUUACAAGGGCAGAAUAGUGUCUCCAAAACCAAAAUGGGUCAUUUUAUCAAGUGGCAUCAAGUAAAUGGUUGCACCUAGAGUUUUCAAGAACGAGCAACAAAACUGCUUGAAAACAUCAGCCAUCUGUGGUCACGCCUGGAGAUGAAUGCCUCCUCUGCCUCACGGUGGGAAAAUAUGUCUCCGACCACCAAAGCGUAUUGCAGGAGGGGAAGUGAUGGCCAAACCUGGGAUGUGGGACCUCAUGCAGAAACCUGUGUCCACAGAGAGGAAAAGCUCCCUCCUGUUACCCGACUUCUCGAGCCAAAGAACACAGACUCGUCAUCUUAGCAAAACAGGGUGUUCUGCUCCAACCAGGGGGAUCCAAAUGCACAAAGAGUCCCUUUGAGCCUUGCUGUGAGGGUUUCAUGCACCCAGCAGUCUAGCACCAAGCAAACAAACUAGUGCAGGGAAACAGGAAUGCAGACUGGCCCCCAGCAAAGACGCCUGAUCAGGUUUCCCAGGGAGAGUCUCUCCUUGACACAAGAGGGGAGGCUGCCUCCAGGAAGACAGGACAACGCUGAGCUUCUGCAGAGGAGGGUGGCCGAGUGUCUGGUGUGUGUGCUGGUGUUCUGCCCACUUCUACCUACGGGGGCCUGGGGUGCUUUUUCUGCUCUGACCCUUAUGACCAGCAGCUGCCUUCCUCCCUCCUUGUGUCCUGCACUCAAGCUCCCCAUCCUGCAGUUCUCAGCUGUAAUGCCUCUUCCUAAAGAGGCCAACAGGGAUGCCCCAGGGGAAGUAUGACACUCAUUCAAAGCUCCCUGUGGUUUGUUUUAUAGCAUCCACCACAGUGCAUAAUCAUGCAUUUUACAUGGGGGUUGUUUCCUGUUGGUCCAGCCCAGGAUUGUAACAUCCGUGAGAAAAGUGUCAACCAGUGCUUAUUCAUGGUAUUGAGUAUGUGCAGGACAGUCGAUAAAGUGCAUCGGUGGUAAAUCUAAGGGUACACAUAUAUCCCUGUAUGUCAAAAUAUCUG